rnacentral:rRNA from 1 species
UAGGGAAUCUUCCACAAUGGNGAAGCUGAUGGAGCAACGCCGCGUGUGUGAUGAAGGGUUUCGGCUCGUAAAACACUGUUGUAAGAGAAGAAUGACAUUGAGAGUAACUGUUCAAUGUGUGACGGUAUCUUACCAGAAAGGAACGGCUAAAUACGUGCCAC